CGAUCGCUCUCUCAUUCGACAAAAGGGCUUAUCCAUUAAUAAAAAGAUGGUUUUGGAAAGGUGUUGGUUGUUUGACCGUGCAUGACGUUGCAAGCUCGACUUUGUCCGACAAUUUCACACCCUUUUGUAGUGGUGGAAGACCUUAUGGCAUUCAAACAUCCCAACCAAGGUUAAGGUUUUUGGGUAGGUUGGAGUGCUUUUAGGAGAAAAUUUAAUGAGAAAGAGAAUCUUGAACCAUGAGCAGCAUGGAAGAUGUGGCCAUUUAAAAUAAAAUUUUAUCAAUGCUCUGUCGAGGUGCAAAUAGAGUAAGAGCCUUUGGAAAGAAACACCUUUCUACUAUGAUAAUUGGCUUUGAACGAUAACUUCGCUUUCUGACCUUGUGGUGGUCUAAAGACAAUCUAGAUAAAACCAAUUUAGAGUUCUUCCUGAUUAUGACAUGGACAUGGGCAGUGUGGAAUCCAAGGAAUAAUUUUGUUUUUAAGGGAUGUGGAGAAAGGUAAUUUAGAAAUCUUCCUGAUCAUGACAUGGGCAGUGUGGAAUCUAAGGAAUAAUUUUGUUUUUAAGGGAUGUGGAGAAAGGAGGCAACCUAUGAUUGAGGAGCAAUAUGGACUUGAGCUCAAAAUUAUGCUCAACGGUAUAAAGAGGCAAAUCAAAAGGGAACAUCAACGAGUGAUAUUUUACCACAUCAGAAACCCAACCACGUCAGCGCGGAAGCCCCUCCCUUACACCAGUCAAAAAUGAACAUUGAUGUCGCGAUUAAACAAGACGAUAUGAGAGUGGGGAUGGGAGCCGUGCUUUAGAAUCACGAGGGAAAGGUUCUUAGCUUUUUAAAAGUAAUAUGGAGCUCUUUCGAGGUGGACAUGGCACUGAGUCUAGCGAUUUGGACAGUCUUUAGUAAUAUAGAGUUCUUUCGAGGUGGAAAAGGAAAGUUGUACUCCUUCCAUUUCUCUGUUGAAUUCAGGUAAUUUUUCUAAAGCCCUAUCUUUUUUCUUCAAGUUCAAUGGUUGUACUGAUUAUGUUUCAGGUGUGUAGAAGAAUCGAGCUGAUUGAUUCGGUUGAAAACCAGUUUUCCAGGUAAAUAGAAGAAUUGAGCUCAUUGAUUCGUUUGAUAACCAAGUUUCCUGGUACAUGCUUAUAAAUCAAGGUCAAUAGGUAAGUACAUUGCAUUAUUUUUUGCUUCAUUUUUCUUAAAGAACAUUUAUUUAAUUCCCUUUGAGGUAUUUGCAUCAAAUAUUGAUCAAUGAUGCCACAACUUGAAAGAGUAAUUUAUGUGAUUUUUCAAACUUCGUACUCUCCCAUAAUGGAUAUGGAAGAAAGGGUUUGGUAGGAAAGACGUCAAGGUUUGUUUCUUUAUCUCCACUCACUCUUUCUGUUAUCUAACUAAUAAAAAUUCAUUUUGCAGAGGUGGAAAACAGAAUAGUUGAAAAGAAAAGAAAAGUUGCAGAGGUUUGUUUAUUCCAUCUCUCUCUCGACUUUAGGUACUUUUUCUCAAUCUGAAUCUAUUUUCUUCAAUUGUAAUGGUUGUAUGAUUAUGUAUUAGGUAAAUAGAAGAACCGAUCUCAUUGAUUCGUUUGAAAACCAAUUUUGGGUAAGUGCAAUGCACUAUUUUUUGCUCCAUUUUUCUUGAAGAACAUGCAUGAUAUUCUCUUUCAGGUCUUUGGGUCAACGUUGACAGAUGAUGCCAUGGCUUGAAAGAACUAUUUUUAUGUGAUUUUUUCAAGACUUCGGACUCACCCAAAAUGGCUAUGGAAGGGAGGGUCUGGUAUGAAAGACAUCAAAUUUUGUUUCUCUCUCCAGUCACUAUUUCUCUCCCUAUAACUAAUAAAAAUGCAUUUUGUAGUUUUAAAAAACAAAAUACGUUCCGAAGUUGAAAAGAAAAGCAGUAAUCCGUCCCGUCUAUCUCCUCUCAAUUUCAGGUACUCUUUCUCAAUCCUUAUAUCUUUUUAUCAAAUUUGAAGUUUGUAUGAUUAUGUUUUAGGUAAGUAUAAGAACCGAGCUAAUUGAUUCGCUUGAAAUCCAGUUCCCCAGCACAUGCUUAUAAAUCAAGGGUAAUGGGUGAGUGCAUUGCAUUAUUUUUUUCUCCAUUUUUCUAAAGAACAUAUAUGUAAUUCUCUUCCAGGUCUUUUGGUCAAACAUUGACAAAUGAUGUCAUGACUUGAAAGGAUCAUUUUAUGUGAUUUUUUUCAAGCUUUCGAACUCACCUGAAAUGGCUAUGGUAGGAAAGCGAUCAAGGUUUGUUUCUGUCUCUCCGCUCACACUUUCUCUUCCUUUGACCAAAAAAAUGCAUGUUUUAGAGAUGGAAAACAAAAUGCAUACAAAAAUUGAAAAGAAAAGUUCUUUUUUUCUUCAAGUUUAAUGGUUGUAUUGAUUAUGUUUUAGGUGAGUAGAAGAAUCGAGUUGAUUGAUUCGGUUGAAAACCAGUUUUCUAGGUACAUGUUUAUAAAUCAUGGGUAACGGGUGAGUGCCUUUGAUUAUUUAUUCAUCCAUUUUUCUUGAAGAGCAUGCAUGGGAUUCUCUUUAAGGUCUUUUGGUCAAGAUAUGUCAGCUGUCCCUACUUAUUUGUUGCCUCUAAAUAUAGGACCAAUCCUUGAUUUGUGAGUUGUAUCUAAAUAUUUGUUGUCCCGAAACAAUGGACCAAUGGUUGCCACGGUAUGUCAGUUGUCCCUAAAUUUGUUGACUUGAAAUACAUGACGAAUGGGUUCUUCUUGAUGUCGGUUGUCCCUAAAUAUUGAGGACCAAGGGUUGCCUUCAUUUUUCAAUUGUCCCUACAUAUUGGUUGUUCAGAUAUAAAGGAACAGUGAUUGCCGCAGUAGGUUGAUUGUCCCUAAAUAUUGGUUGACUUGAAAUAUAGGACAAAUAGUUGCACGUUAUGUCGUUUGUCCCAAUAUAGGACCAAAGUCUUGAUAUGUCAGUUGUCCUUCAAUAUUAGUCGCCUCAAAAUUAAACACAAAUAGUUGUCUUAAUAUGUAAGAUGUCUCAAAAUAUUGGUUGUCUUGAAAGAAGAGGAUAAAUGGCUGCCUCAAUAUGUUGAUUUUCCCUUAAUAUUUGUUGGCUAUAAUUAUAAGACUAAUAGUUGUCUCGAUACUUUGGUUAUCCCUAAGUAUUGGUUGACUCAAAAUAAAGGACCUAUAGUUGCCUUAAAAUGAAGGAACUAUGAUUGCAUCAAUAUGUUGGUUGUUCCUAACUAUUAGUUUCCUCGAAAUAAAUGACCAAGCUUUGAUAUGUCGGUUGUCCCUAAAUUUUUGUUACCUCAUAACAGAACCAAUGGUUGCCACAAUAUGUGGCUGUCCCUAAAUAUUGGUUGCAUCGAUAUAAUAAUUUUUAUUAGACUUAUCAGAGUAACCUCGGAUUACUUCCCAAUUCAGUUGGAUUUUGGGUACAUUAAAUCGGGUCCAACUCCCUUCAGAUCCAAGAACAUGUGGCUGCUUCAUCCCUCUUUCCAUCCCUUUCUUGAUUCUUGGUGGAUAAACAAUCCUCUCCAUGGCUAGGGCAUGGAUUGAUGGUGAAGCUUAAAUCCUUGAAAUCAACAAAGAUACUUUUGGAGGUAUGCACUCAAAAAAAGAAACAGCCUACAGUUGCUUUCCUUUUAUGCUUCCCUACGUGGAAAAUGAAUCAAACCUGUUUUGAUACUCAAGGAAAUUGAAUCAAACCUGUUUUGAUACUCAAGGAAAUUGAUGAUGUAGAAAGUAUAGCCCCUGUCCCUAGCUUUUCAGAAUGAGCAGACUUACAUAAAGGUACAACUUUUAGAUAUGGCAGCUAACGAAGAAAUUUAUUGGUGGCAAAAAUCCAAACUAAAAUGGUAUCAUGAUGGCGUUCCAGAUUUUUUUGAAAAAAUGAUAUCAUCAAUGCUAACCUCAAUGAAAUCUUUAUAUGCCUACUUGAUUUGGAUGAAAUAAAAUAUUUGGAUAGAAUAAAAUAUUUGUAUUCCAAUAUGUAUCAAGAAAUACAUAGUCUUCUUAUAUAGGAGAAAGGCUCAAUACAUAAUAGAAAAUAAGAAUAAAAUAACCAUUAAUAUUUACGGUUAAUAUCCAUGAAUAAACCAUCAUGCCCCAUCCCAAAGAAAAAAUAUGCGAAAGCAGUACAUGAUUAUCAGCCUAUAAGCAUCACUUUCUAGAAAAGAUUUCCGCAAAGAACACUCAAGUUCCUUAAUAACCGAUGAGAGGAGUUUAAAAUACGUUGAAAUGUUGGCUAGAUUCGAAUUGCAAAUAGUUAAUCUUCUCCUUCUUGAAAGAUCAAAAUGACUCCAUUUUGCCAAUUUCUUUGAAAUUUUCUCAUGGAUGAGUUGUCAAAACAUGAGUAACUUUGGGUUCCUUCCAAGUGGCAAACAUAGAUAGUAGAACAGAAGAGAGACUAGACCGCCUUGAAUUCAAGCCUAGAGGAUAGCUGACUUAUCCUUUGUUGAUCAAUGUUGAUUUCACAAAUAGAGGAUUUAUCCCAAUUCAUUUUUAGAUCUGAAAGCCAUUCAAAUAAAUCGAUAGAGUUCUGCAAAUAAUUCAACGAACUAUCAUCAUCUUUAUAAAGUAGCAACCUAUCUUCUGCAAAUUGAAGAUGAGAGAUGUGCAGUUUUCUGUUGCCCGACAAUGAAGCCUUCAACAAGGUCUUUAGAAAAAAAGGAAAGGAAAAAGAGGAUCUCCUUGCUUUUAAGCCUCAGUAGGUUGAAAUUCUUCCUCGUGGUCUCCCAUUUAUAAAGAUCGAGAAUUUGGUUUUAGGACAAUUUCAAGGAGGUCCCAAUCCACCAUGUUGAUUUUCGAGGUCAAGUUUCAAGAUCCAACCUUGCUUCUUUAGCCAUUUGUAUUCCUCUACCAAUUUGUUGGCAAUAAGAAUGGGAUCAAGUAUUUGUCUCCAAUGAAUGCACUUUGAUUUAUAGAGAUGGUGGAUGGCAGGACCUUCUUGAAAUGUUCGGAGAGAACUCUUGCUAGCACCUUGUAGAUUGAAGUUAAGAGGCUUAUUUGUUUAAAAUCUUUCACGCAGUGCAUUGAAAGAAAACAAGAAAUCAGAGGACGACUGACCUCCGAUUCGAGUGAGUAGUCUUUAUUAGCUUGGAUUUACUAUUUGUGCAUGUUGUCUCUGAUCUAAUGCUUUCAAUUAUUAAGGAAAUUUUGAUGGUUGUGAUACACGAAUUCUAGAAAUACGAAAAAAUGAUCUGUCAACUAUGUGAUUGAGAACUUAUGUUGUCUCCACGUAUAACUAAUGAUGACUCUCGCUGUAUAUAUAUUCUCCAUGACGUUUGUAUGGUGGAUUAAGUAGGUCGUUGAAGCCAAAAUACAGAUGGAGGAAAUGAUCACUGAGCCUUACAUUCCUAGGAAGAUGUGGUACGUAAAUUCAGUUAUGGAGCAACUUAACUCAAUAACAUCGGUCACUUGGACGAAAAUGACAUCUAUGCUAGCUGGUCAUUCUACAGCUUUAUUCGUGCUCAAGUUCUCUUUU